AUACGUAGGGAGCGAGCGUUGACCGGAAUUACUGGGCGUAAAGGGUACGCAGGCGGGUUGGCAAGUCAGAUGUGAAAUCCCGGGGCUCAACCCCGGAACUGCAUUUGAAACUGGGGAUCUUGAGUGUGGUAGAGGGGAGCGGAAUUCCUAGUGUAGCGGUGAAAUGCGUAGAUAUUUGGAGGAACAUCGGUGGCGAAGGCGGCUUACUGGGCCUUUACUGACGCUGAGGCACGAAAGCGUGGGGAGCAAACAGGAUUAGAUACCCUGGUAGUCCACGCUGUAAACGAUGAUGACUAGGUGUGGGGGGACUGAACCCGUCCGUGCCGCAGUUAACACAAUAAGUCAUCCGCCUGGGGAGUACGGCCGCAAGGUUGAAACUCAAAUGAAUUGACGGGG
rnacentral:rRNA from 1 species